rnacentral:rRNA from 1 species
UGUCUCCUACGGGGCGCAGCAGUGAGGAAUAUUGGUCAAUGGCCGAGAGGCUGAACCAGCCAAGUCGCGUGAGGGAUGACGGCCCUACGGGUUGUAAACCUCUUUUGUCAGGGAGCAAUUGGCGCUACGUGUAGCGUUAUCGAGAGUACCUGAAGAAAAAGCAUCGGCUAACUCCGUGCCAGCAGCCGCGGUAAUACGGAGGAUGCGAGCGUUAUCCGGAUUUAUUGGGUUUAAAGGGUGCGUAGGCGGAAUGCCAAGUCAGCGGUAAAAUCGCGGGGCUCAACCUCGCUCCGCCGUUGAAACUG